rnacentral:rRNA from 1 species
UUGCUCCUACGGGGGGCAGCAGUGGGGAAUAUUGGACAAUGGGGGAAACCCUUAUCCAGCGACGCCGCGUGAGGGAAGAAGGUUUUCGGAUUGUAAACCUCUGUCAGUGGGGACGAUAAUGACGGUACCCACGGAGGAAGCCACGGCUAACUACGUGCCAGCAGCCGCGGUAAUACGUAGGUGGCAAGCGUUGUCCGGAAUUACUGGGUGUGAAGGGAGCGUAGGCGGGAUGUCAAGUCAGAAGUGGAAAUUAUGGGCUCAACUCAUAACCUGCUUUUGAAACUGACAUUCUUGAUUGAAGUAGG